ACCAGGAUGGCUGAGAGGUUAAGGCGUUGGACUUAAGAUCCAAUGGACAAAUGUCUUUGUGGGUUUGAAUCCCACUCCUGGUA